rnacentral:rRNA from 1 species
AACGCGAAGAACCUUACCUGGGCUUGAACCGCCGGUGACCAGCGGUGGAAACAUCGCCUUCCCGCAAGGGACACCGGUAGAGGUGCUGCAUGGCUGUCGUCAGCUCGUGCCGUGAGGUGUUGGGUUAAGUCCCGCAACGAGCGCAACCCUUGUCCUAUGUUGCCAGCGGAUAAUGCCGGGGACUCGUAGGAAACUGCCGGGGUCAACUCGGAGGAAGGUGGGGACGACGUCAAGUCAUCAUGGCCCUUAUGUCCAGGGCUACAAGCGUGCUACAAUGGGCGGUACAAAGGGUUGCAACCUCGCAAGAGCAAGCUAAUCCCAAAAAACCGUCCUCAGUUCGGAUCGGAGUCUGCAACUCGACCCCGUGAAGUUGGAAUCGCUAGUAAUCGCGGAUCAGAACGCCGCGGUGAAUACGUUCCCGGGCCUUGUACACACCGAUAGC